rnacentral:rRNA from 1 species
CCUACGGGAGGCAGCAGUGGGGAAUAUUGGGCAAUGGGCACAAGCCUGACCCAGCAACGCCGCGUGAAGGAAGAAGGCCCUCGGGUUGUAAACUUCUUUUGUCAGGGACGAAACACAUGACGGUACCUGACGAAUAAGCAACGGCUAACUACGUGCCAGCAGCCGUGGUAAUACGUAGGUGGCAGGCGUUAUUCGGAUUUACUGGGUGUAAAGGGCGUGUAGGCGGGAGAGCAAGGCAGAUGUGAAAUUCCAGGGCUCAACCCUGGAACUGCAUUUGAAACUGUUUUUCUUGAGUGAUGGAGAGGCAGGCGGAAUUCCGGGUGUAGCGGUGAAAUGCGUAGAUAUACGGAGGAACACCAGUGGCGAAGGCGGCCUGCUGGACAUUAACUGACGCUGAGGCGCGAAAGCGUGGGGAGCAAACAGGAUUAGAUACCCUGGUAGUC